AUUUUUUCGUUUCUAACGUUGGCUGUAGUCAGCAUCCAUGCGAGGAACUGUGAAUACGAAUGUCGUCCAUAGUCGGCACGUAUGUAAUAAACCAUACUAACGCCGAUUAUAGUAAUGAUUUAUUCGGUAACAAUUGUGUUACGUUCUGUAGUUAUUGUUUUGAUUCUGUUCGGAAGAAUUCGGAAGCAAUCCGUUAAUGGUAUAUAUAUGUUAAUUUCUUCAAUGUUGAAAGUUACAGUUUUAUUUAACUCUUUUUUUCUAUGCAAAUAUUAAUGCAAAUGAAUAUUCGCGGCGCACGUUCCUCUACUAUAGAAGAACAAUAUUCGCAGUUAUAUGAAUUGUAAAGACAGGGUUAAAAAUAUAAUAUUACUGAGAAUCGCACAUAGAGUUACCGCUACGAAAUCUCAACAAUAUUGAGUAGCUUAUUUGCACGUGGUCUUACACCCGUCAAUUAUAGACGGAAUGUCGAUUGCCGCUAAAUCGACUUGAACUUUGUCACGUAGUUUGUUCACGUGCGCGCGCACUUACGGUUACUACGCGCAUCAGUUCCGGCUGUUCAGCACCGUUCGAUAUUGAACACGAAAAUUUAAAGAGCCGUUCGUGUAUUAUAAUUUCUGAUAUUUGACGGUGAACUUAACGUGGUUAGUUAAAAAUAUGCCUUAAAAGGAUACGUUAUAUACAGAACGAAAGAAUACCGUUACAAAAGAUUAGUGCCCAAGUUGAUUGAAAGUGAUACUCGAUAAAGAUUUACGUUUUUUUUCAAAAUCACGAUAUACGAUCCUAUGAUGAAAGACUAUUCUUUGAAAAGAUCUGGUUUCAGCUUGUUCGCACAUUGAAUUCAGAUCACGAAUUGAGUAAUUAAUAAUUUGCAUUCAUUUUUGAGAAUUGUUUGUGCGAUUAUUAUAAACAACGAUGGAGAUUAUAUCGCUAGUAAUUUCGCUAAAAAUAGGCCGAGAUAGGCUUUUUCUCUUUCUUUUCUUGCUUCUAUCCUUAUCGUUUAAAUUGAGUAUCGGUAUACAAAAAGUUGUAAAUGUAAUUUUAUAGUAAGCUUCGAUUAACAUAAAGAAAGACGUACAUAUUGAAUGUACAUUACAGAUCGCUCUUAGAAUUAAUUGCUAGUCGUGUAAGUAGAUGAACAUAAAUGUACGCUAUACUGUAUACUAAAAAUGAAACAACGACGAUUCAUAGCACAUCUUUACGUACACAAUUCGAGCGGAAACUUAUAUAUAUGUAUUUGUACAUGGCAGCACGAUAUUUUUAAACGAACGUCGCAAGUAUACUUAUCCUUAAUUAUCAGAAUCCUCUACUUGACAGUACAGUCAUUGAAUAAAUAAAAAUUACAGAGUUCGAUAUAAGCUACGCAUCGGAGAAAAUCAAAUUUAACAAUAUAUUUAUACAUGUCGCUAAUCAAUUAAAUCGUGUAAAAUAUUUUAUUGCUAUGUUUACAGAAUAAGCAGUACCUCGUUAAAAUCUCGACGCAAAGGUUGUAACGAUAAUACCUAAUUAUAAAGAAUACUUUUGAUAAUACUUUUUUGUAUUAUCUGUCUACGAUAUUUCCUCCGCCAUUAAGAUUUUAUAACGAGAGAAAAUAAUCGGAAAUAUAAAACGAAGUAUACAUAUAUAGGCUAUUUACAAUGAAAGAUUAUUCCAUACACAUCGUGUCGGACCAUUGGCUGUAAGAUACCGAUAUUUUUACAUCAUGCCAAUAUUUGAACGCAAGUUGAACCGAUGCUACAUCGAAUGAUUGUAUAAAAAAAAGAAGAAAGA